UUGACGGGACCCGCACAAGCGGUGGAUGAUGUGGUUUAAUUCGAUGCAACGCGAAAAACCUUACCCACCUUUGACAUGGCAGGAAUCCCGUAGAGAUUUGGGAGUGCUCGAAAGAGAACCUGCACACAGGUGCUGCAUGGCUGUCGUCAGCUCGUGUCGUGAGAUGUUGGGUUAAGUCCCGCAACGAGCGCAACCCUUGCCAUUAGUUGCUACGAAAGGGCACUCUAAUGGGACUGCCGGUGACAAACCGGAGGAAGGUGGGGAUGACGUCAAGUCCUCAUGGCCCUUAUAGGUGGGGCUACACACGUCAUACAAUGGCCGGUACAGAGGGUAGCCAACCCGCGAGGGGGAGCCAAUCCCACAAAGCCGGUCGUAGUCCGGAUCGCAGUCUGCAACUCGACUGCGUGAAGUCGGAAUCGCUAGUAAUCGCGGAUCAGCAUGUCGCGGUGAAUACGUUCCCGGGUCUU
rnacentral:rRNA from 1 species